rnacentral:rRNA from 1 species
AGAGUUUGAUCAUGGCUCAGAUUGAACGCUGGCGGCAUGCUUUACACAUGCAAGUCGAGCGGCAGCGCGGGGGCAACCCUGGCGGCGAGCGGCGGACGGGUGAGUAAUGCAUCGGAACGUAUCCCGUAGUGGGGGACAACCCAGCGAAAGCUGGGCUAAUACCGCAUAUGCUCUACGGAGGAAAGUGAGGGACCCGCAAGGGCCUCACGCUAUGGGAGCGGCCGAUGUCCGAUUAGCUAGUUGGUGGGGUAAAGGCCCACCAAGGCGACGAUCGGUAGCUGGUCUGAGAGGAUGAUCAGCCACACUGGGACUGAGACACGGCCCAGACUCCUACGGGAGGCAGCAGUGGGAAUUUGGACAAUGGGGGCAACCCUGAUCCAGCCAUGCCGCGUGCGGGAAGAAGGCCUUCGGGUUGUAAACCGCUUUUGGUCGGGAAGAAAAGGCGUCUCCUAAUACGGGGCGUUCUUGACGGUACCGGCAGAAUAAGCACCGGCUAACUACGUG